UACGUAGGGUGCGAGCGUUGUCCGGAAUUAUUGGGCGUAAAGAGCUCGUAGGCGGUCUGUCGCGUCGAAUGUGAAAACCCGGGGCUCAACUCCGGGCUUGCAUUCGAUACGGGCAGGCUCGAGUUCGGUAGGGGAGACUGGAAUUCCUGGUGUAGCGGUGAAAUGCGCAGAUAUCAGGAGGAACACCGGUGGCGAAGGCGGGUCUCUGGGCCGUAACUGACGCUGAGGAGCGAAAGCCAGGGGAGCAAACGGG
rnacentral:rRNA from 1 species